GUGCAUCUUGUGGGUCCCGAGGAGGCGUCAUGGCUAGCAGCAGCAGCAGCAUCGUGAAUGUGUCCGGGGCGGAGGGCGGAGAGAAGACUGUGAUCCACGUCAACAUCACCCAGGAGUCCUCCCUGGGGUCCCUCCUCAAGGCCCUGGCAGCCUGUAGGAAGACCCCCAAGCCUCGCCCCAAGGACCCCCAGGGCCCCUCCGCCCCUCCGAAAAAGGCUGGGUGCAAUGCGGAGCAGAAAGUGCUGGGGGGGACACAGAUCCUGCUUGGACUGCUCACCAUCGCCAUCGGGUGUGUCCUGUGCCUUGGACAAGGGGCUGACUAUUAUGGCUAUUGGCUAUUCGGACCACUCUGGAAUGGAGCUCCUUUCUGGUCGGGGGGCGUGCUCUUCGUGGCCGGUGUCCUCUCCGUUGUGGGCGACAGACGUGGUGGCCGCUGGAAAAUUGCUGCUGGACUCAGGAUCCUGCUGUUAGUCCUUUGCAUCGGGGCUCUGGUGAUCGCCGUCUUCUGCCUGGGCAACGGCCUCCGCCGGCUCUGUUGCUCCUUCCUGGGUUGCUGUGAGAACUACAGCCCCCUUGAGGACCCUGAAGUGCCCCCUCCGUAUGAGGAGCCGGCCAAGGAGGAGAACGCCGCCUGAGCCGUGGGGCAGAAGGAGCCGAUGCCUGCCUCUUGCCCCUUCCUCUUGCCCCCUUGCUUGCCUGGGUGGGGGGACCUUGUCCUGGUGAGCGAGCGGGGUGCCCUUCUCACCUGGAGCCCCCACCUGGUCCCAGGACCUAGAUGCUGAAACUCUGGCUGUCUCGCAGCUGCCCUUUCUUGCCCUUUCUUUCUCUCUGCAUAUCUGCUCAUUCCAGCCUCUUCCGGAAUUGGGGCUAGAAGUCACCUGCUAGAAAAACACAAAGCAGGGGGAAGCCCCCCCCCCAGUCAAGGUUUCCAGCAGAAAUCCAGAGCCAUUCAUGCCUUCCCUCCAUCCUGGCUGCAGUUGGGCUCUGAGCUGCCACUUCUGACCUUCCCUGGAAAGGGCUUCCCCGCCUGGUCCUUUGGCACUGCUUGAUAUUACUUGUUCAAACUUCUUCUUCCACAAGCCCCUGGUUUCCAGGGGGUGACAGAUGCUGCCUCUCUGCCUGCCGCUUGAUUUGUAACCAAUAUAUUCUCUAAUAAAAAGAUUUAUCUCUUCUCCUGGGAGUUUUGCUCAUUUGCUUCCAGUCCCUUUUCCAGGAAUGCCAGAGGUGGCUCUCUUCGCAGUUGCUGGCUCUGCCGUAAGAACCUGAGAAGAGCCUCCUGAAUCGGGCCAAAAGGGGCCCACCUAGUCCAGCAGGGGCCACACAGGGGCCCAUUGUGGGAAAGGCGCAAGCAGGACAUGAGCACAACAGCAGCACACCAUCUGUGGAGCUUGCUGCCACUGCAAUGGCUUUCAAAGAGGAUUGGACAAAUUCCUGACAGAGCUGAAGGCAGUCUAG
rnacentral:lncRNA from 1 species